rnacentral:rRNA from 1 species
GUCUAUGGCUAUGCUACCCUGAACAAGCCUGAUCCCAUCUGAUCUUGGAAGCUAAGCAGGGUUGGGCCUGCUUAGUACUUGGGUGGGAGACCACCUAGGAAGACCAGGUACUGUAGGUG